rnacentral:misc_RNA from 1 species
GAUGAAGAAAGCAGCGAAAUGCGAUAAGUAAUGUGAAUUGCAGAAUUCAGUGAAUCAUCGAAUCUUUGAACGCACAUUGCGCCCGCCAGUAUUCUGGCGGGCAUGCCUGUUCGAGCGUCAUUUCAACCAUCAAGCCCUGCUUGCGUUGGGGUCCUGCGGCUGCCCGCAGGCCCUGAAAACCAGUGGCGGGCUCGCUAGUCACACCGAGCGCAGUAAUACAUCUCGCUUUGGGCGUGCGGCGGGUUCUUGCCGUUAAACACCCCCUUUUUACCAAGGUUGACCUCGGAUCAGGUAGGAAUACCCGCUGAACUUAAGCAUAUCAAUAAGCGGAGGA